rnacentral:rRNA from 1 species
GUAGGUGGCAAGCGUUGUCCGGAAUUAUUGGGCGUAAAGCGCGCGCAGGUGGGUUCUUUAAGUCUGAUGUGAAAGCCCCCGGGCUCAACCGGGGAGGGUCAUUGGGAACUGGGGAACUUGAGUGCAGGAGAGGAAAGUGGAAUUCCACGUGUAGCGGUGAAAUGCGUAGAUAUGUGGAGGAACACCAGUGGCGAAGGCGACUUUCUGGCCUGUAACUGACACUGAGGCGCGAAAGCGUGGGGAGCAAACAGGAUUAGAUACCCUGGUAGUCCACGCCGUAAACGAUGAGUGCUAAGUGUUGGGGGGUUUCCGCCCCUCAGUGCUGCAGCUAACGCAUUAAGCACUCCGCCUGGGGAGUACGGUCGCAAGACUG